AGGCCCAUCACCCACUUCUCCACUCGUUGCUCCGCUGAGGAGGUUCUCACUCCUUGGUUUUUCCCUGAUCGGCUUCUUCCCUCCCGCUGAGUAAGUUUUCUGAUUAUUAAUUUUAAUCAGUUGGUGGUGGUGGUGGUGAGAUUGUUGCGCGGAGAUAUGUUUCUAUGAAGGCAUAUGGUUCUUUGGAGUCUGGAUAUGGUGUUGAUGAUGCAUUUAUGCUGGCUGAGGAGGUGAAGACGAGGAUGUUCGAUUUGUUGGUUGAGAUUAGCCUGACAUAGGUGUUUCUGAUUUAUGAGAAAUAGUGAGG